GGAUCACAUCUUUGUGUUGUUGGAAGUUGCAAGAACUUUUCUGAUAGAUUUCAGCAGAACUAAGAAUUACUUGAUUCUAUUGUUGACUUGAUCUCUGCUUUUUGAAACUUUGGACCAGUCUGCGGGUGAGAUGAGUCUUCUGCUUAUUAACACAAGUAUGAAAAAUAGCUCAUGUUCAAGAUCACAGCAUGCAUAGGAGUCCAAACCAUCUUGAGAUAUUGGACAAAGGAAUUAGAGGUCAGCUGGGCAGAAAAAUGUCAGAAAGUGGAGCUCCAUGAGCUGUCGGCAUCCCAGGGGCAGAGCAGAGGCAGAUUUUGGCUGUGAAGUUGACCCAGCCAAUGCCACGCAGGACAAGGUGGCAUUGAGAAGGUCCACAGCAGCAGCAUGUGUGCUGGAGGGGAACCACAAGCCGUGAAGGAUAGGGCAAAAGUGCCCGCUUCAUAAAUACACAUAAACAAACAAAACAGCUCACCAGCAGACAAAAUUCAGUGCUUCAGUGACCAUGGUUUCUCCUCUGCGAAGGCCCUCCUGUUGCCUUAGAAAAUUAUCAUCCCGUUUACUUAAUUAGGCUGACUCCAAGCUUUAGGCAUCGGCCUGCCAAGAUGAUGCACACAGGUGAGUGAAAUUGGCCGCUUCUCUGCCAUCCUCCCCUGCAGGCUUAGCUGGGGAGCUUUGUGCAAGGCAAUGCAAGAGGAGGCACGCAGCUCGAGCGCUGGGUCAGGAGGAAUGAGCCUAAGUCACCGGUGUCUCACAUCUCCUCUCUUGCUUUACUGAUGGAGAGUAACAUGCAGGUAAACUUCAGAAGUCACAUGCAGUAAAUUUCAUACAUUCUUAUCUUGCCCAAACCUAUGCACAUUCACAAGGCGUCUUUCUGGAAAUAUCAGACCUGUAAAUCCCAGAUGCAGAGAUAAGAGCAGGAGCGUAGGAAUGAGCCUUAAACUGCCUAGUUUGAGUAAUUGUAAUGAUUUCAUUCUGGCUAAUAGCAGCGAGGAGUCAAGGGGAGUGAAGGCAGCUCCUUGUUUCUCAGUGACCUAAUAGUGACUGUCAGCCUGCUUUUUAUUGGGAGUAAUUACAUUUUCCUUUCCUGAUCUUUACAGCUCUUGUCUAUUUGCCCUCAGCAAGCUUGCCUGCCUUGCCCUCUUCUGUGCUCUGAAACCCAGAAAUUCCACACAGAUGGUAUUUUUUAAGGUGUUUCUAAUAGCAAUGAUUUGGAAGGGAAUGCUGAGCCUUCUUGAAAUAUGGAGGAGACAUUGACGAGACCACUGUGUUUUCUGUUUGCGUGUGAAUGACAGAUGCUAUUCACAUCAAACAGAGGAUGCAUAAAGUCAUGGUGAUUGUAAAGACGUGGUGGGCAUAUUUCUGCACUGCAAAACUCAGGAACACGGCCUGCCAGGUAGUUCAUCCCCACGUGCUGGAGGAGCCGUGCCCUUUGGUUGUUCAUCAUCAAUAGGACUGAAAGCCUCUUGGAAAAAAAAGAGAGUCAAUGACCUCUAUAGCAUCACGUCAAACUUCCAGACUGCUGAUCAUCACAGUGUCAGUCCUUCAUUUUAGAGAAGUUUCUCUUUUACAGUACUAGCGCGGGGUUCUGGUGGCAGCAUUUGGAGAAGGAAUGGUGAGCUAAAGUGUGAAAAGUGAAUGCAAAAGGCUGUGGAAAGAUGUAUCCACCUGGUUUUACUGAAGAAAACAAUACAGCUCCCCAAGUGCUGGUGAAGCCCUUUCGUUGCUUUUUGCGUGGUUCAGCUCCUGCUUCCCUCUGAUUUCGUUAGUGUUUGGCCGAAUCCCAAUUCCUUUUGAAGAUGAUUAAUUGCAGAACAGCUUAUCCUUAUUAGUGGUACUCAGACCCAACUGAAUUUACCAAAGAAGUAAUUACCAGGGUCUUGGUGAUGGGUUUCCUAUUGAAAACGCUUGGGUUGACUGCAGGAGGAGCUGGGAACCAGGGUUUCCCAUGGCUUUGGACAGCUGGGAAACACAUUUCAGCCACAAAAGCACUCAGGGACCUCUAGCCCUCGCAUCCACAUCCAAUGUCCUGUCCCCACCAUCACUGGCCCUGUGCCGAGGAUCACGUGGCACCGUGAUGGGAUCACACGUUUACCAAAGCCACUCUUGUCACCGUAUGGGAACACAAUGUUUCUCCCUGCCUCUAGAAGCUGAGAAUUGGAAGAGGUCAUGAACAUCAACAAAUAUUGUCCAGAUUUUCUUCAGGUCCCUUUGUUGCUAAGGGAGUUUGACACUGCCAUGAUGAGCACUGCAGGAAUUCAGAAUGCACCAGCAUGAAUUGUAGAAUCAUAUACUGGUUUGGGUUGGAGGGGACCUUUGAGAUCAUGUAGUUCCAAUCCUCCUGCUAUAGGCAGGGACACCUCCUCUAGACCAAGUUGCUCAAAGCCCCAUCCAGCCUGGCCUUGAAUGCUUCCGGGGAGGGGGCAUCCACAGCCUCGCUGGGCAACCUGUUCCAGUGUCUCACUACCCUCACAAUAAAGAAUUUCUUUCUGAUAUCUAGUCUAGAUCUACCCUCUUCUGCUUUAAAGCCAUUUCCCCUCGUGCUUUUGAAGGAGAAGCAUUUUUAUGGGUAACCACACACUUUACUUUAGGAAGUAUUUACACAGCUGUGACCUUUUUGAACGAUAAGCUCCCCUGGUGUUUGGGAGCAGUGUCAUCUUCAAAUGGCAUGGCUAGACCUAGAGGUUGCCUGCUUGAGGGCCCUGCCCACCCGUGAUCUUCUCCCCCUCUCCCUCUACCUCUUAAGUUCUUUACAAGGAGAGUGGUGAGGUGCUGGAACGGGCUGCCCAGAGAGGCUGUGGAUGCCCCGUCCCUGGAGGUGUUCAAGGCCACGUUGGAUGGGGCCCUGGGCAACCUGGUCUAGUAAAUGGGGAGGUUGGUGGCCCUGCUAGCAGGGGGGUUGGAGAUUCAUGAUCCUUGAGGUCCCUUCCAACCCAGGCCAUUCUGUGAUUCUGUGAUUCUGUGUGAUUCUGUGAUACCUGGAGUAUCCCACCCCCCUAUGCCCCUGUCUCACCCCAGCUCCUCUCCUUGUCCCGGCCACUCCCAGCCCUCACUGCUUACCACCUCCCUUCCUCUUCUACAGAUCCACUGCUGAAAAAGAGACAUAAAUCCAAAAACAUCACUGGUGCCUCAUGUGCAAACACUUUAACAUUAAGCUGACACAGUCCUGUUGUUCA
rnacentral:lncRNA from 1 species